rnacentral:lncRNA from 1 species
AUUUCUAAAAACUGCAAUACAGUAUAGAGCAAUAAAAUAGGAACAAGAUUUGAACAACUCACGCACCAACUUUCUUGAGUAACACUAAGCAGUUAACUGCAUACCAACAAGUAAUCAGAAGUCCUGAGCCAAGACACGAGUCCCAUUUGGACUGAAGUUCCUGCUCUGGUUAGUCCUGUUUUGUGAGAUCACAGACUUUUUCUGAGAACCUUACAAAUGAGCAGUCCCUGGGAGACUGGUGGGUGGGGUGAGAUGUUCUUGGUCCAAAACUCUCUGGUGUUAGUAUCUAAAAAUGACCCCCAUGGCAGGGACUGGAAGGACACAGCUGCACCCAGGGCUGCCCAGGGAAGCUCCUCUUUGCCUUGGGGCCUGCAGAGAGUGGUCCCAGCUCAGGAUCCUGAGUGGAAAUGUUACUGCCUAGUCAGCUUCCCCCAUUCUGCAAUUCUUUCAUGGAGUACUGAUCAAGAAAUAUGA